GUAACGUUUUGUAAUAAAUUUCUCCUGUUGAAAAAUUGGAAUUCCUGUUUUUAUUUUUUCUUUCUUGCAGUGUGUAUCUGCUGAUGAAGACAACUAGGCUGGCUGAGGAGCACCUUCUUAAGAUCCUAGCUAGCCAUCCAUCAGUCAAGUCCCACCAUGAACAUUCUGUGGUUCCAAUGCAAGUGCCAAUGCUUGGGUAUUGCGUCAUUUUGAAUGAAAUUCUCACCAAAUGCUUUAGUUAGUCAGUUC